AAGUCGUAACAAGGUUUCCGUAGGUGAACCUGCGGAAGGAUCAUUAGGGAGAAAAGAGAAAAUACACCGUGCACUUUUAAUGAGAUUGGGCUCUAACGGGCCCACCCACCACAUUUUAAAAAUAUAAAUAAGAAGAAGAAGAAAUUUAAAAACUUUUAGCAACGGAUCUCUAGGUUCUC
rnacentral:misc_RNA from 1 species